CAGCAGCCGCGGGAAUACGUAGGGUGCGAGCGUUAUUCGGAAUUACUGGGCUUAAAGCGCGUGUAGGCGGGCCGCCACGUCGGUUGCUGAAAUCCCCCGGCUCAACCGGGGAAGUGGCAUCGAUACGAGCGGCCUUGAGGGGGGUAGGGGGAUCUGGAACUUCCGGUGGAGCGGUGAAAUGCGUUGAGAUCGGAAGGAACGCCCGUGGCGAAAGCGAGGUCCUGGACCCUUUCUGACGCUGAGACGCGAAAGCCAGGGGAGCGAACGGGAUUAGAUACCCGCGUAGUCCCUGUCUCUUAUA
rnacentral:rRNA from 1 species